rfam:Punctularia strigosozonata HHB-11173 SS5 unplaced genomic scaffold PTNSTscaffold_1, whole genome shotgun sequence.
GGUGCUUUGCCUGAGUGGUUAAAGGGUGGGAUUUGAAUUGCUUACUAUCCCAUGGGCUUCGCCCGCGUAGGUUCGAACCCUGCAGGCACCG